AUUGAACGCUGGCGGCGUGCUUAACACAUGCAAGUCGAUGGGUAACAGGUGUAGCAAUACAUGCUGACGAGAGGCGGACGGGUGAGUAAUGCUUGGGAAUCUGCCUAUUAGUGGGGGACAACCCGGGGAAACUCGGGCUAAUACCGCAUACGCUCUACGGAGGAAAGCCGGGGACCGCAAGGCCUGGCGCUAAUAGAUGAGCCCAAGUCGGAUUAGCUAGUUGGUAGGGUAACGGCCUACCAAGGCGACAAUCCGUAGCUGGUCUGAGAGGACGACCAGCCACACCGGAACUGAGACACGGUCCGGACUCCUACGGGAGGCAGCAGUGGGGAAUAUUGGACAAUGGGGGCAACCCUGAUCCAGCGACGCCGCGU
rnacentral:rRNA from 1 species